rnacentral:rRNA from 1 species
UCACUGCUAUCGGGGUUCGAUUAAGCCAUGCGAGUCGAGAGGGUUCGGCCCUCGGCGUACUGCUCAGUAACACGUGGAUAACCUGCCCUAGGGGAGGGGAUAACCCCGGGAAACUGGGGAUAAUACCCUAUAGGUUACAGAUGCUGGAAUGCCCUGUAACCAAAAGCUCCGGCGCCCUAGGAUGGAUCUGCGGCCGAUUAGGUUGUUGUUGGGGUAACGGCCCAACAAGCCCGUAAUCGGUACGGGUUGUGGGAGCAAGAGCCCGGAGUUGGAUUCUGAGACACGAAUCCAGGCCCUACGGGGCGCAGCAGGCGCGAAACCUUUACAAUGCGGGCAACCGUGAUAAGGGAACCUCGAGUGCCUGUAAACGCAGGCUGUUCAGGUGUUUAAAACGCACCUGGAGAAAGGGCCGGGCAAGACCGGUGCCAGCCGCCGCGGUAAUACCGGCGGCUCGAGUGGUGGCCGCUUUUAUUGGGCUUAAAGCGUUCGUAGCUGGGUUGUUAAGUCUCUUGGGAAAUCUGGCGGCUUAACCGUCAGGCGUCUAAGGGAUACUGGCAAUCU